AUGAAUACCAAAUCACAUGCCCAAAUGCACCCUUCCCCAAAAUUAUACAUACCGGGCCAAAGCGAAACAGCCCAGGUGCUGUCUAAAACCUCUGUGUGGCGUUUCCUACCUGACAGGCACCUCUCAAGGCCUAGCGCCAGCAGAAGGCCGGCAGCAGGCCUUCUGCCACUGACCACAGGCCUAACUGCACGCUUGGCUCAACAAAUUGACACAAAGACAUACUUCAAUGGCACCUGGGACCUUAAAAACAACCCCAUUUCCAUUCUAGCCUUGGCAGUUGAGAUGCAGAGGGAUGGAGAGAGAGACUCAUCGGUUGGAAAUCAAAACUCGGUCAACAAUCUCAAGCACAUACAAGAACACAGAGGUAAGUAUAAUAAGGACACAAACUUGGGGACGAGCUAAACAAAAUCCUAUAUACGUAUAUUUAUAUACAUACACUGUAUAGGUACAAACGCAUGCCUGCACAUAGUAACCAUAGCACCUCAUCUGCACGUGGGUCAGCAGGCACACCAAAACCAGGCACCCCGAGGAAGCACAGCCCACAAGCACCCUCAGCUGCAGAGGCUUCUCCCUACCCCACAGGCUCGCUGGGGUGCCCUGACCAGCCCCGGGUUCUCCACUUCUGCCCAGGCAUGUCAUCCACCCAGGACGCAGACAGAAGCCGUGUUUAUCUAGCUGUGUUCCUCUGCCCCAGGUCCCAAACUCAUCCCUAACAAACGAAUGUCACUCAGUGCAGCAGCAGCAACAUCCAAACCCACCAAGAGAGCUGACUCGUGUAUGUUACCACCAGGAGCCACGCCACUGUAACACUUGUGGAGCACCAGGACAAGACAUCCCGCUGCAUCCAUCCACCCAGAGCCCCGCAGGCAGCUCUUCUGCUCCCGUGCCAGCGGCUGUCUUCAUUUUACAUUGGGGAAUUAGUUUCUUUUUUUCCCGAUUUUAUGUGAAAAGGGAUUAAAGUAAUUAGAAGCUUUGCGUGAUUCCUUCUCCCAUCCACCCCCCCUCCAUUAAUCAGAUCUAUUCAAUUUCUACCCAAGCCAGAUAAAGAGGGAGAGGAGGAGGAGAAACGUUCAAAACAUUUGGAGGAAUUUGACAUUUGUUACAGAAGGCCGGGUGACCUCAGAGGCAGAAAUACAGCAGAGAUACAAACAAAUCUAUUGUAUAUAAUGUCAUCGUGACAAAUAAGAACAUUAAAAAAGAUGGGAUAAUCUUCCUAUCAGAUGAGAAUAAAGCAACAGUAAGAAGGCA
rnacentral:lncRNA from 1 species